GACAGAGGUCCCGAGCGUUACUCGGAAUCAUUGGGCGUAAAGCGUGCGUAGGCGGCUUUGUAAGUCGGAAGUGAAAGCCUGGGGCUCAACCCCAGAAUUGCUUUCGAAACUGCAGAGCUAGAAUACCAGAGGGGAUGGCGGAAUUCCUAGUGUAGAGGUGAAAUUCGUAGAUAUUAGGAGGAACACCGGUGGCGAAGGCGGCCAUCUGGCUGGUUAUUGACGCUGUUGCACGAAAGCGUGGGGAGCAAACAGG
rnacentral:rRNA from 1 species